GGUCCACCUUACUUCCGGUCACUGCAUUCCAUUCCACACAAAGGAAGCCUCAGUGUCCGUAGAGAUCAGGUUAACAAAGUAGUGAAGAAGACAUCCGGUGAGUGUGAGACACCCAGCAGCCAUCGCAUUGUGUGUAGGACUGAGCAGGACCCAGAGCCCCAUCACGGUGCCUCCACCUCAGUCACUGAUACAUGAGGUACAAUAACCAGAAGAUCCUGGAACUCUCCAACAAGAUCAUUCAGCUGCUGACUGGAGAGGAGGGGGAGUAUAUAGAGGAACACAGGGGUCUGUACAAGGACGUGAUGAUGGAGAAUCACCGGCCCCUCACAUCACUGGAUGGGCCCAGUAACAGAGAUACCCCAGAGAGAUGUCCCCGUCCUCCGUAUUCCCAGGACUGUACAGAGGAGAAUCACAGGA